rnacentral:lncRNA from 1 species
AAAAAAAAAAAAAAAAAAAAAGAUUCACCUCCCCUUCUCCUUCCCUACAUACUUGCUACUCCAUUGCCAGUUUUCAGACCAGUGAACUUCUCUCUGCCCUUGUCUCAUUCCUCAGUCAACUGCUUGCAAUAUACAUAUUCAUCUUGUUUUCCUUCUUUAUGGCCACUGUCUCUUGCCUCCUCAAAUCCUAUCUUAUAUUCCACGUGACUCACGCCCUUCUCUGCUCUGACUUGUCUUAUCCCAGGAGCCAGUUGUCCAGCACAGUGUCAUGGGACAGUGGGCCCUGGUGCCACAAUGCCCGGCAUCUCCACCAGAUACAGCUUUGAGAUCUUCAUGAUGAAGCUUGCUCCAAUCCAAGGGCUGUCAGGUGGGGUUUGCGGUUCAGCUGCUAACCUUUCUUUGAUCCAAAUCCUGUCUUCACUGGCUUCAAGAAUCCUGUCUUCACUGGCUUCAAAACUGGGAUGAAGGAGGCUCCUUAGUGGAGAGCAAAGCAAAGAGGUAUUUGACACAGGGAUAAAGGGAUUGAUAGAAGUCAGGGACUGUCUCCAGGGAGAAGUGAUCUUUGAGCUGAAUCUAGAUUGGUGGUCAGGAUUGAGUUACUCAGAUGGACA